GUUAUUAGGUGCACCUCCAUUAAUAAAAUAAUGCACCGAGUGUACUCUGUAAUAUGCGCUCCUCAAAACCCCAAAACAAAACGCCCCGUUCUCUCUUCUCGGACCGGAAACGUCAACACUGACGAGAACAACGACGACACGGCAAGAUACGCAAGUACUUUUCCGAUAAAUCACCACUAGCUUUGGCGAGCUAGCAACUGGUUUUUUAUUCGCCAAUACGACAUCGAAGUAGCAAUCAUGCAUUCCUUUGGGUACAGAGCUAAUGCUUUGCUAACUUUCUCCGUCACCAUCCUCGCGCUAAUGUGUGCCAUGGCCUCCCUCUCUGAUAACCUUAAUUCUCCCUCUCCCACUUCCCAAAUCCAGAUAUUGAAUAUCAAUUGGUUUCAAAACCAGUCGCAUGGAAAUGUUGAGGAACGCUUGCCACUGGAGGAAGUUUUUGGGCAACUAAGAAGUAAGAACUGACUUUCAACUGAAGAUGCUGAAGUUCGAUUGAAGAUUUUUGGCCUGAACAAACUUGAAGAGAAUCUAUUAAGUACUACAAUUUUUGAGUAUCUUAUCCUGAGAACAAGUUUUUGAAGUUCCUCAGUUUUACGUGCAAUUCCUUAUCAUGGUAAAUUCUUGAAAAGUGAGUUGCUUCCCUUCCUUCUCUUCCUCUAAUUUCUCUAUUUUAUUGUUCAUUUUCGAUGGUGCUUCUCUUACUCCAGUUUCUAUAAUUUUUUUUUCUAAUUAUAGCGCUUCUAUGCUUAACUUGAUCUUAUAUUCAAAUUAACAGGACAGCCAUGGAGAACUAACUGCUAUAGACUUCUGGUUGUUGUCUCAACCCUAAGAUCAGGUCCAGUGUAGGAAUUUAAUGGUGGAAACUGGAGAGGCUGUGUUUUGCAUCUGAGAAUAAAUUUAGUAAUCCCUGGGAUUCAACUAGAUUGUGGAAGCUAAAUUUAUUCUUUUGUUGCAGGUUCUGUGUUUUUUCUGUCAUUGAAUUAGCAGUUUUGCUGGGUUAUUUUUGUGGAGCCAAUAUGAGUUCCACUGGUCCUUCCAUGGGUUCUGAUUAGUUUAUUUCCUCUUGCAUCAUCUUGCCAUUACUUAAUAAAAGAAGCUACUUGGUUUGUAUAUGCAGACGUGCAAAAUUUAGGCAAAUUUCAAGUAUAAUGCAUUCCAAAAUAAUGUAUGU
rnacentral:misc_RNA from 1 species